rnacentral:rRNA from 1 species
UGAAGGGCCGCGGUAUUUUGACCGUGCAAAGGUAGCAUAAUCAUUAGUUCUUUAAUUGUGAUCUGGAAUGAAUGGCUUGACGAGAUGCGAGCUGUCUUAAAUUUGAAUGUUUUAUUGAAUUUGGUUUUUGAGUUAAAAUUCUUAGAUGUUUUUAUGGGACGAGAAGACCCUAUAGAGUUUGACAUGUUGAUUUGCUUGUUUGUUUGUAGUUUGUUUUAUUUUUAAUAAGUGAGUCUUGUGUUUUGUUGGGGUGAUGAGAGGAAUAUAAUUUAACUCCUCUUGGUUUAGUGGUUAUAUUGAUUUAUAUUUAU